rnacentral:rRNA from 1 species
CCUGCCAGUAGUCAUAUGCUUGUCUCAAAGAUUAAGCCAUGCAUGUCUCAGUACAAGCCAAAUUAAGGUGAAACCGCGAAAGGCUCAUUAAAUCAGUUAUGGUUCCUUAGAUCGUACCCACAUUUACUUGGAUAACUGUGGUAAUUCUAGAGCUAAUACAUGCAAACAGAGCUCCGACCGGAGACGGAAGGAGUGCUUUUAUUAGAACAAAACCAAUCGGCGGCGUGUUCGCUUGCGUUCACGUUCGCCGCCCAACUUGGUGACUCUGAAUAACUUUACGCUGAUCGCACGGUCUUGCACCGGCGACGCAUCUUUCAAAUGUCUGCCUUAUCAACUGUCGAUGGUAGGUUCUGCGCCUACCAUGGUUGUAACGGGUAACGGGGAAUCAGGGUUCGAUUCCGGAGAGGGAGCCUGAGAAACGGCUACCACAUCCAAGGAAGGCAGCAGGCGCGCAAAUUACCCACUCCCGGCACGGGGAGGUAGUGACGAAAAAUAACGAUACGGGACUCAUCCGAGGCCCCGUAAUCGGAAUGAGUACACUUUAAAUCCUUUAACGAGGAUCAAUUGGAGGGCAAGUCUGGUGCCAGCAGCC